CCCAGAGUCACUAGGAGAAAUCACCAAAACUAAAGAUGAGUGCCCUGCCUUACUGCUUCCUUCUGUGGCUGCAGCUGCCUAACCUAGGUGAUGGGACUGCUUAUCUCCAUCCAUCACACAGGGAGCCUCUGGUACACAACAGACAAUUAAUUAAUUUAUGUUACCUCAGAGUGUCCUGAACUGGCAUGGAGUGAGUAGAGAAGCACAGAUUUUUGCUAAGCAGGCAUAUUGUGCUUUCAGCUUGAGGUUACACAUCGAUGCUACGAGAAACACAUGUUAAUAAUAAAGAUGUUAAGUGGGUACCA
rnacentral:lncRNA from 1 species